rnacentral:rRNA from 1 species
AUGAGCUCGGAAUCGGCGGCGAUGCGGAAAGAGUUGCGGCUGUGGCUCGAGCAGCGGGUCACCGGCGUGCUCGACUCCAUGGUGGAGCACCGGGACCGCCUCAACAUGCUGCGUCUGGCCGUCGGGAUGGGGAUUGGGGUGUGGGCGCCGCGCCAGGUGGACCUGCGGGUGCUGGUGGGGGCGCGGGUCACCAUCGACGAGGCGUGGGUCGCCGUCAGGGACUCCAUGGGGAGCCUGCGGGCGGCCCUCGCGCUGGCCGGCUCUCCCGACCGCCGGCUCGUCAUCUGGGUCGUCGGCAACGAGGCGCGGGACCACCUGGUGGACGCCAUCGACCGCGGGCGGGCGGUCCAGGGCCGGCUCAAGAGGGCUGACGCCCGGCUGCGCGCCAUGGCCUUCCUGUUCGCCGGCGACGCCACGCGGCCCGCCCUCCUCGCCGGCGACAUCGCCGUCGCGCGCGAGCACCUCGUCGGCGCCGUCCAGGCGUGGGACCAGAUGCCCAUGUCUCUCGAGUACGCGCUGCAGGGCCUCGCUCCGUUUCCUUUUUAG